CCAGACUUUGCGGGCUGCUUCCGUGUGCCAAAAAUAGGCCACGGGCAGAGCCGCGCCCAAAAAUCAGCCCCCGAAGGUCGGGGCGCCAAGACCCCCCAGCGGAAAAAUGGCCAAAAAACGGGUGGGCUAUAGCCUUGGUGGGGGGCGUGGGCGAAGUUUGUCCGCCGGACUCGGAAUGGCCCCAGACUUUGCGGGCAGCCUUCGUGUGCCAAAAAUAGGCCACGGGCACACCCGCGCCCAAAAAUCAGCCCCCGAAGGUCGGGGCGCCAAGACCCCCCAGCGGAAAAAUGGCCAAAAAACGGGUGGGCGGGCUAUAGCCUUGGUGGGGGGCGUGGGCGAAGUUCGUCCGCCGGACUCGGAAUGGCCCCAGACUUUGCGGGCGGCCUCCGUGUGCCAAAAAUAAGCCACGGGCACAGCCGCGUCCAAAAAUCAGCCCCCGAAGUCGGGGCGCCAAGACCCCCCAGCGGAAAAAUGGCCAAAAAACGGGUGGGCUAUAGCCUUGGUGGGGGGCGUGGGCGAAGUUCGUCCGCCGGACUCGGAAUGGCCCCAGACUUUGCAGGCGGCCUCCGUGUGGCAAAAAUAGGCCACGGGCACAGCCGCGCCCAAAAAUCAGCCGCCGAAGUCGGGGCGCCAAGACCCCCCAGCGGAAAAAUGGCCAAAAAACGGGUGGGCUAUAGCCUUGGUGGGGGGCGUGGGCGAAGUUCGUCCGCCGGACUCGGAAUGGCCCCAGACUUUGCGGGCUGCUUCCGUGUGCCAAAAAUAGGCCACGGGCAGAGCCGCGCCCAAAAAUCAGCCCCCGAAGGUCGGGGCGCCAAGAACCCCCAGCGGAAAAAUGGCCAAAAAACGGGUCGGCUAUAGCCUUGGUGGGGGGCGUGGGCGAAGUUCGUCCGCCGGACUCGGAAUGGCCCCAGACUUUGCGGGCGGCCUCCGUGUACCAAAAAUAGGCCACGGGCACAGCCGCGCCCAAAAAUCAGCCCCCGAAGGUCGGGGCGCCAAGACCCCCCAGCGGAAAAAUGGCCAAAAAACGGGUGAGCUAUAGCCUUGGUGGGGGGCGUGGGCGAAGUUCGUCCGCCGGACUCGGAAUGGCCCCAGACUUUGCGGGCGGCCUCCGUGUGCCAAAAAUAGGCCACGGGCACACCCGCGCCCAAAAAUCAGCCCCCGAAGGUCGGGGCGCCAAGACCCCCCAGCGGAAAAAUGGUCAAAAAACGGGUGGGCGGGGUAUAGCCUUGGUGGGGGGCGUGGGCGAAGUUCGUCCGCCGGACUCGGAAUGGCCCCAGACUUUGCGGGCGGCCUCCGUGUGCCAAAAAUAAGCCACGGGCACAGCCGCGCCCAAAAAUCAGCCCCCGAAGGUCGGGGCGCCAAGACCCCCCAGCGGAAAAAUGGCCAAAAAACGGGUGGGCUAUAGCCUUGGUGGCGGGCGUGGGCGAAGUUCGUCCGCCGGACUCGGAAUGGCCCCAGACUUUGCGGGCGGCUUCCGUGUGCCAAAAAUAGGCCACGGGCAGAGCCGCGCCCAAAAAUCAGCCCCCGAAGGUCGGGGUGCCAAGACCCCCCAGCGGAAAAAUGGCCAAAAAACGGGUGGGCUUUAGCCUUGGUGGGGGGCGUGGGCGAAGUUCGUCCGCCGGACUCGGAAUGGCCCCAGACGUUGCGGGCGGCCUCCGUGUGCCAAAAAUAGGCCACGGGCACAGCCGCUCCCAAAAAUCAGCCCCCGAAGGUCGGGGUGCCAACACUCCCCAGCGGAAAAAUGGCCAAAAAACGGGUGGGCUAUAGCCUUGGUGGGGGGCGUGGGCGAAGUUCGUCCGCCGGACUCGGAAUGGCCCCAGACUUUGCGGGCGGCCUCUGUGUGCCAAAAAUAGGCCACGGGCACAGCCGC
rnacentral:lncRNA from 1 species